AUGGGUNGUAAACUUCUUUUAUACGGGAAUAAAGUUAGCCACGUGUGGCUUUUUGUAUGUACCGUAUGAAUAAGGAUCGGCUAACUCCGUGCCAGCAGCCGCGGUAAUACGGAGGAUCCGAGCGUUAUCCGGAUUUAUUGGGUUUAAAGGGAGCGUAGGCGGGUUGUUAAGUCAGUUGUGAAAGUUUGCGGCUCAACCGUAAAAUUGCAGUUGAUACUGGCGACCUUGAGUGCAACAGAGGUAGGCGGAAUUCGUGGUGUAGCGGUGAAAUGCUUAGAUAUCACGAAGAACUCCGAUUGCGAAGGCAGCUUACUGGAUUGUAACUGACGCUGAUGCUCGAAAGUGUGGGUAUCAAACAGGAUUAGAUACCCUGGUAGUCCACACAGUAAACGAUGAAUACUCGCUGUUGGCGAUAUACGGUCAGCGGCCAAGCGAAAGCAUUAAGUAUUCCACCUGGGGAGUACGCCGGCAACGGUGAAACUCAAAGGAAUUGACGGGGGCCCGCACAAGCGGAGGAACAUGUGGUUUAAUUCGAUGAUACGCGAGGAACCUUACCCGGGCUUAAAUUGCAACUGACUGAACCGGAAACGGUUCUUUCUUCGGACAGUUGUGAAGGUGCUGCAUGGUUGUCGUCAGCUCGUGCCGUGAGGUGUCGGCUUAAGUGCCAUAACGAGCGCAACCCUUAUCGAUAGUUACUAGCAGGUCAUGCUGAGGACUCUAUUGAGACUGCCGUCGUAAGAUGUGAGGAAGGUGGA
rnacentral:rRNA from 1 species